rnacentral:lncRNA from 1 species
GGUUUAGAGUUAAAGAGUGGGGUUUAGGAUUUAGGGUUUAGGGUUUAGGGUUCAGAGUUUAGGGUUUAGGGUUUAUGGUUUAUGGUUUAGGGUUUAGAGUUUAGAGUUUAGAGUUUAGGGUUUAGAGUUUAGGGUUUAGAGUUGAUAAACGAGGUUUUGGGAUAAGAUUUCAAAUUUUAAAAAAUAAAAAAAAUUAAAAUUUUCAAAGGAUAA